rnacentral:lncRNA from 1 species
GCCCACCCGCAGCGGUCACGUGAAGGACCGAGCGCCGCGCGCCCAGGCGGGGCCUCCGGCCUGCACGAGGAGGGCAGAGUCCGUUGCGGCUGCCGCCCCGACGCCCGCGCAUCCCCGCUCGCCGCGCCCGCCGCCGCGAUGUCCGGGGCCGGCCUAGCCGCGGUGGUGAGCUGCCUGCGCCCGCAGCCCGGCGAGGAGCCGCAGACCCAUGAGACGUUACUAUUUUUAUAACCACUAGACAACGCAGGUUGCCGCAUACUUCUUUAUUUGUGUAGACCUCGCUCUUGCCCUGUUUGAAGAGCCUGAGUUGCUUCCCCUGCCUUUCUUGGCCACCUCAAUAGCAGAAGUACUCUGCCUGACUGCAUACUUUGGCAGACUGGUACAUUUUGCAAAAGUCACUCCUCAAAUGGUUUUCUGGAAGGAUACAAAAGACAUCUGCACCAUGGUAACCACAGUGGCGAGUGUUCAUUGUAGUACCUGUAAGAGUUUAUGACCAAAGGCAGGAGCCAUGAAGAAAAAAGACUCAAUAGAUUUGCUUUUGAUGAAACAACAACACUUCCAUACAGUGAACGCCAUAAGCACAACUGCAAGCAAACCGCAAACUGAAGAACAAAUAGGGCAAAAUGUGGCAGUGCAGACAUUUCAGCAUAUCAAGAGCACUUCCAAAUUACAGGAAAAAAAAGAUAUCUCAAUAGAUAAUUUUGCUGAAGAUAAGUGAAGGCAACUCAUAAGGAAAAAAUAUGUAAAAUGGCCGAUAGGAAAGAUGUUUAACGUCACUAAUUAAAAAUUAUAGAAUAAAACGACAAUAAAAUACCAUGUGUUUGCCUAUAA